rnacentral:rRNA from 1 species
GUUGUAUGGUUAAGUGACUAAGCGUACACGGUGGAUGCCUUGGCAGUCAGAGGCGAUGAAAGACGUAGUAACUUGCGAUAAGCCCAGAUUAGGUAGUAACAACCAUUUGAGUCUGGGAUUUCUGAAUGGGGAAACCCACUUACAUAAGUAAGUAUCAUUAACUGAAUACAUAGGUUAAUGAGGCGAACCGGGGGAACUGAAACAUCUAAGUACCCCGAGGAAAAGAAAUCAACCGAGAUUCCGAAAGUAGCGGCGAGCGAAAUUGGACUAGCCCUUAAGCUUUACACGCGUUAGACGAACGGUCUGGAAAGUCCGACGAUACAGGGUGAUAGUCCCGUAGUUGACGACGUGUGUUCAGUGAAAUCGAGUAGGGCGGGACACGUGAUAUCCUGUCUGAAUAUGGGGGGACCAUCCUCCAAGGCUAAAUACUACUGACUGACCGAUAGUGAACCAGUACCGUGAGGGAAAGGCGAAAAGAACCCCUGUGAGGGGAGUGAAAUAGAACCUGAAACCGUGUACGUACAAGCAGUAGGAGCAGGCUUUGUCCUGUGACUGCGUACCUUUUGUAUAAUGGGUCAGCGACUUAUAUUCAGUGGCAAGGUUAACCAUCUAGGGGAGCCGUAGGGAAACCGAGUCUUAACUGGGCGUUCAGUCUCUGGAUAUAGACCCGAAACCAGGUGAUCUAGCCAUGGGCAGGUUGAAGGUUGAGUAACAUCAACUGGAGGACCGAACCGACUAAUGUUGAAAAAUUAGCGGAUGACUUGUGGCUAGGGGUGAAAGGCCAAUCAAACCUGGAGAUAGCUGGUUCUCCCCGAAAGCUAUUUAGGUAGCGCCUCGGACGAAUACUACUGGGGGUAGAGCACUGUUAAGGCUAGGGGGUCAUCCCGACUUACCAACCCUUUGCAAACUCCGAAUACCAGUAAGUACUAUCCGGGAGACACACGGCGGGUGCUAACGUCCGUCGUGGAGAGGGAAACAACCCAGACCGCCAGCUAAGGUCCCAAAUUACUACUAAGUGGGAAACGAUGUGGGAAGGCUCAGACAGCCAGGAUGUUGGCUUAGAAGCAGCCAUCAUUUAAAGAAAGCGUAAUAGCUCACUGGUCGAGUCGGCCUGCGCGGAAGAUGUAACGGGGCUAAGUAGUAAACCGAAGCUGCGGCAAUAUACUUUUGUAUAUUGGGUAGGGGAGCGUUCUGUAAGCGGUUGAAGGUGUGUGGUAACGCAUGCUGGACGUAUCAGAAGUGCGAAUGCUGACAUGAGUAACGAUAAAGGGGGUGAAAAACCUCCUCGCCGGAAGACCAAGGGUUCCUGUCCAACGUUAAUCGGGGCAGGGUAAGUCGACCCCUAAGGCGAGGCCGAAAGGCGUAGUCGAUGGGAAACGGGUUAAUAUUCCCGUACUUCUUACAAUUGCGAUGGGGGGACGGAGAAGGCUAGGUGGGCCUGGCGACGGUUGUCCAGGUUCAAGUGCGUAGGCUUAAGAGUUAGGUAAAUCCGGCUCUUUCUAAGGCUGAGACACGACGUCGAGCACCUACGGGUGUGAAGUCAUUGAUGCCAUGCUUCCAGGAAAAGCCUCUAAGCUUCAGAUUGUAAGGAAUCGUACCCCAAACCGACACAGGUGGUCGGGUAGAGAAUACCAAGGCGCUUGAGAGAACUCGGGUGAAGGAACUAGGCAAAAUGGUACCGUAACUUCGGGAGAAGGUACGCUCUCGACGGUGAAGUCCCUCGCGGAUGGAGCUAUUGAGAGUCGCAGAUACCAGGUGGCUGCAACUGUUUAUUAAAAACACAGCACUGUGCAAAAUCGUAAGAUGACGUAUACGGUGUGACGCCUGCCCGGUGCCGGAAGGUUAAUUGAUGGGGUUAGACUUCGGUCGAAGCUCUUGAUCGAAGCCCCGGUAAACGGCGGCCGUAACUAUAACGGUCCUAAGGUAGCGAAAUUCCUUGUCGGGUAAGUUCCGACCUGCACGAAUGGCGUAAUGAUGGCCACGCUGUCUCCACCCGAGACUCAGUGAAAUUGAAAUCGCUGUGAAGAUGCAGUGUACCCGCGGCUAGACGGAAAGACCCCGUGAACCUUUACUACAGCUUGGCACUGAACAUUGACCCUACAUGUGUAGGAUAGGUGGGAGGCUUUGAAGCACGUACGCCAGUAUGUGUGGAGCCGUCCUUGAAAUACCACCCUUGUAGUGUUGAUGUUCUAACGUCGACCCCUUAUCGGGGUUGCGGACAGUGCCUGGUGGGUAGUUUGACUGGGGCGGUCUCCUCCCAAAGAGUAACGGAGGAGCACGAAGGUGGGCUAAUCACGGUUGGACAUCGUGAGGUUAGUGCAAUGGCAUAAGCCCGCUUGACUGCGAGAAUGACAAUUCGAGCAGGUGCGAAAGCAGGUCAUAGUGAUCCGGUGGUUCUGAAUGGAAGGGCCAUCGCUCAACGGAUAAAAGGUACUCCGGGGAUAACAGGCUGAUACCGCCCAAGAGUUCAUAUCGACGGCGGUGUUUGGCACCUCGAUGUCGGCUCAUCACAUCCUGGGGCUGAAGUCGGUCCCAAGGGUAUGGCUGUUCGCCAUUUAAAGUGGUACGCGAGCUGGGUUUAGAACGUCGUGAGACAGUUCGGUCCCUAUCUGCCGUGGGCGUUGGAAGAUUGAAGGGGGCUGCUCCUAGUACGAGAGGACCGGAGUGGACGAACCUCUGGUGUUCGGGUUGUGUCGCCAGACGCAUUGCCCGGUAGCUAAGUUCGGAAUCGAUAACCGCUGAAAGCAUCUAAGCGGGAAGCGAGCCCUGAGAUGAGUCUUCCCUGAUACUUUAAGUAUCCUAAAGGGUUGUCGGAGACUACGACGUUGAUAGGUCAGGUGUGUAAGUGCUGUGAGGCAUUGAGCUAACUGAUACUAAUUGCCCGUGAGGCUUAACCAUACAACACCCAAGGGGUUU